rnacentral:rRNA from 1 species
GACGAACGCUGGCGGCGUGCUUAACACAUGCAAGUCGAACGGAAAGGCCCUGCUUUUGUGGGGUGCUCGAGUGGCGAACGGGUGAGUAACACGUGAGUAACCUGCCCUUGACUUUGGGAUAACUUCAGGAAAAUGGGGCUAAUACCGGAUAGGAGCUCCUGCUGCAUGGUGGGGGUUGGAAAGUUUCGGCGGUUGGGGAUGGACUCGCGGCUUAUCCGCUUCAUGGUGGGGUAGUGGCUUACACAGGCUAUGACGGGUAGCCGGCCUGAGAGGGUGACCGGCGACAUUGGGACUGAGAUACGGCCCAGACUCUUACGGGAGGCAGCAGUGGGGAAUAUUGCACAAUGGGCGGAAGCCUGAUGCAGCAACGCCGCGUGCGGGAUGACGGCCUUCGAGUUGUAAACCGCUUUCGCCUGUGACGAAGCGUGAGAGACGGUAAUGGGUAAAGAAGCACCGGCUAACUACGUG